rnacentral:misc_RNA from 1 species
CACGAGUUCAUACUCAUAUCCUAUCCUAUCCUGUGUUGUUGACUCGGGUUUGUUGUGGCGUAUGUCAUGUACGUCACACAGCCCACUUUCAAUAUUCUACCCAAUGAUAUUAUCUGACUGAUUGUUUGUUUUUAACUUAAAA